CCUGGUUGCACCAUGAGAAGACGAUGGCUGCAUCACAGCUCCCAAACAAAAGGUCCUUAAAACUCUGCCUCUGGUCAGCCUGAACCCCACCACCAAGUUUGAACACGAGCGAGCGCCAAGGCCUGGGAUUGAGGGAUCUGAACUUCAGAUGCCUGCCUCUCCAAACUUAAUUCGGAUGUUGUCUGGAUGCUGAGAGAUGCAGAGGGAGCUUUCAGCUCCAACUCCGAUCAGCCACAAUCAGCCAGACGGAGUCAGACCUGGGGAGAAGACAUUAGAGAGAAUAUCUCACUGGAUUAUCCAUAACAUAACAUAACCAUAAUCCAUAAUAAUCCAUAACUUUUAUUAUAUUUUUCACAGUGCUGUGUAGUUAAGCAAAAAACAGGCUUUCAUUGUGAAAUGAUCAAUCUCAUUCUUGGUGACUCCUUUGCUUUUUAGAAGAAAAAAAUGGGCAUUGUGACAUUGUGACAUUGUGAGUUAAAACCUGUUGUGACUAGGGGGCACUAUUUUCAUUUUUGAAGAAAAAAAACGUUCCCGUAGUACACGGGAUAUUUU